rnacentral:rRNA from 1 species
AGCGUACUGCUGUGGAUAGUCUCCAUUGGAUUUAACCUACCGCACAAAGACCUGUGCUCUAUGAACGGUGGUAAUGGUGCCCUGCGAGUAAGCUUCUUCAUUGAGGCCAAAAGCGAUUACGUGUUAACCAUACGCAUACGGGUCGACCACCGAAGUUACUGUGAACAAAUCAGUGUGUUCAAAGCAGGCGUUUGCCUUGAAUGAUAAAGCAUGGAAUAACAAGGGAUCGAUUCUCUCGAGUCUUUUUGUUGGUUUUUAACCCGAGAAGGAACAAUUCAAGCUGUGGACUUUUAUAGCGUCGUUCGCGGCACUAUUCAUAAGGCCAUGGCCCAGCGGGAUCAAUAGGGACUGCCGGGGUCGUACGUACUCCCACGUCAGAGGUGAAAUUCUUAGAUCGUGGGAAGACGAACUUCUGCGAAAGCAUUCGACAAGAAUGUCUUCAUUAAUCAAGAACGAGAGUGUGGGGAUCGAAGAUGAUCAGAUACCGUCGUAGUCCACUACUGUAACGAUGCCGUCUCAGGAUCGAGAGAUGUUUCACUUAUGGCUCUCACGGCACUAACCCCUGAAACGAGAAAUCAAAGAUUAUGGGUUCAGGGGGGAGUACAUUCGCAAGGCUGAAACUUAAA